GUUUUCCUGCCAUGUGAAUCAGGCCUGUGUGAACUGCACAAAUCUGCACAGAGAAGCAUUGUUUAACUUCCUUUUUGGACAAAUGGAUGAUAGAGGUGUGGAUCCAGCCUGUUCAGACUGUAUUUUUAGUCUUUGGGUGAACAGAGACGGUGCGUGCUGUGACCUGACUCCGACUGAUCAUCGGCAGCUUCAACAUCCUCCGCGCUGAGAGAGCAACAACAACUGGCUGCGAUAUCACGACCGGAGGAGUGGGUUGUUUUUGUUCGGCUCAUCCCCCCGGAGAGGCUACAGUGUCACAGAGAUAUCUGUCCUGGAUCAACCGGAACAUGUCGGUGAUGCCGUCAACACACACUGGAUGCUUGGGGAACACCUGCACGUCCUGGAACAUCCUGGAUGACCACCGCUGCCCCUGCCCGCUCUCUGCUGUGGAUCUUCUUACACUUCGGGGGAAUGUGUAUCCAAAUUGUUCCUGGUGACAACAAGCGCAUGACGGAGCGCUAAAAGAAAAUGUUCAGCCAGUCUGAGUCAGAGGAAAGACGAGGAGGAGGAGGAGGAGGAUGGAGGGAAGUUAGGAGGGGUAUAUAGCCCCGAGAGUCAGCCUACGCUGGUUCAGACCGGUUCCUGCCCCCUUCCCCUUCUCCUCUCUUCUUUCUUCUCCUCCUCCUUUCCUCUAGUAUACUCUACUCAUCUCACUGCCUCUCCUGCUUUUUCUUCCUUUCUUCUUGGGUCUUAUUUAUGUUUUUCUCCCUAGCUUCAUCCUCUUAUUUUCCACUUCUUUCCUGCUUUCUUAUUCCCUCUUUUCUUCUUUUCCUCUAAUUGUUUGCCUGCAAGUUAUCUCACAGCUCCAUGGGUAUGCACUGCUAAAACCAAAAUUACCUUGAUAUGGGUUGAAAGUGUAAAAUCCAGUUAACGUUUUGUCUUCAUUUUUAUCAGGACCAUUAGUGACACUGUUUCUGGUAUACAAUCAUGAGUUGGAGAGAGUGAAAGAAGCCAUAGAGAAAAUAAAAGUGCGAUGAGAAAUGCGUGUGUGCAUGAGAGAGAAACAAGAUGGAAAGAUGUUGUCCUUCGCAUGCCCCUUAAUGCCAGUGAACUCUUUGCAUAUAUUGGCAAACAUCACAAAGUAUGAACAUGAAAACACGUCAUGACAUACUCUGCUGCAGUGCCCUCAGUUAAAAUCACCUAAGGUUUAAACAGCACACUGAGGGGUGGGUCAGAUUUACACUGCAAGCUGUUGAUAUUCUAAACAGACAUAGAUGGACUUGGUUUCUCAGCAAAACUGCAGACUCUUGUUUUUCCUGCAGGGUUUGCUAACCCAGAGGAGGCAGGAGAUGUAAACACUGCAAGGCUGAACAAUGUUUCCUCCUCCAGGCUGACGGCCAGACGGAUUAGAGACUGUCAGCAGUGAGAUCUGAUGCAAAGCAACAGUUCAGCCAGCUGGAGUGAAACAAUGAUGGACGAUUCUUGAACCGUAGAUGUAGUUUUGCAUGUCCUGUUUUCAAUGUUUUUCAAUGAUUUUACAGACGUGCAGCACAGAGAAAAAGGAGACUACAUAAAUGGCAACAGAACUCAUUCAGACAAACAUAAAGGAUUAUAUUUUGCUCCAUAAAGAAGCUGAAGUAGACGGUGAAAUGAAUGCACACCUCCUAACAGCGACAAAUCCUUUCUUGCCCAGUUAUCUUUGGCUAUAUGCUUAACAAAAAAAACAAUACAAAAGUUGUUUUUACAAAAUCUCGGAGUGACCAUUGAGAGAAAAAAACAAAUAUCGAGACCAUGUUUUACUGCAUCAAAGUGCUCGAAAUGCUGCUACCCAUACAUCUCUAAAACACUUAUUGUCUAUGAGUUUGCUCUUCUACACCCUAAGUUAGUCAUGUUCACGCCUUAAGCCCUAAUAUGCCUUCAGAGAGGAAGGCUGGUAUGAGCUAUAACUGUUGGACAAGUUGUAAGAAAAUGGACCAAGGUUUCUGGGAAACUGUUCAUGCAUGGUGGGCAGACUGAGUGUUGAUAGCCUGCGUGGUGUGGUAUGUAAAGUUGGUUCAUUUUAGGGAAGAAUUAAUGUCAUGAUUUGAUUUUUGAUUUGAUUGUGUCAAAGUAUGUACACUUAUCUCGUGCGCAGGAAUUAACCAAAAUGUGGGACCGAAUUGUAUCACGUACUCAUGCAAAAGCAUUUCAAGCCCUCGAUGUAGUAAGACGUGGCCUUAACAUAGAUUUUUUUUCUGUCUAUGGCCACUCUGGGGCUCCAUGUGUAUAGAGGGUUAUUUGUAGGAUCCCCAUGCCAAAGUCCCAUGCACAAACAAGCAGCUCUGGUGACAGGGUGACAUUUGAUAGCUUGACUUACUAAUUAAGGCUAGUUCACAGUCUGUGUGAGGUACAAGCCAGAUUCACUGAGCGUGUUGACCAGCAAAUACACUAUCUGAUAAUGUCAUCGACCUCCAUCACUUAUUUAAGAGCAAGGCCUUCCUGUUGUUUAUCAUGUUGAUUUUUUUGUCCUUUUAUUUGCCCUCAUCAUCCUUAUUUGGCUGUAGGGAUAUAUUCUCACACUCUGGAACUGACUGGAUCUGACCUGUAUCAUAUAUGUAUAGAAUAAUUUGUGUCUGUUAUGUUUUUUUUCACCACUAAAGUUUAACCCAUUCAAGGUUCUUUGCAAAGACAUGCACUCCUCCCUUACUGAAAAAUACAGAAUCUGUGAAAACAUAAUUACAUCUGAAAGGUUUAUCUGUUGGAUGCAAGAUGACUGAAAAGUCCAUUCUCAGUGUAUGUGCACUGGAAGUUU